GGGAUGUAAAUGACUGUGUCUGCUACCCUGCAUCUAUGAUUACCACUCCUGCAGCCAGUGAGUGUACCUCUGUGCGUGAACUGUUGACUGGCCAGCUGUAUUUCCUUAUUUCAUAUAGGUUGUUGUUGAAGAAAUCUGGCUGUCGAACACCACGAAUUGAAUUGGAAGAGAUGGGACCCUCAUUGGAUCUGGUUCUAAGGAGGACACACCUGGCUUCCGAUGACCUUUAUAAGUUAUCUAUGAAAGUGCCAAAAGCCCUCAAGACAAAGAAGAGGAAAAACAUCUCCCAGGAUACUUUCGGUACAACUUAUGGAAGGAUUCACAUGCAGAAGCAAGACCUAAGUAAAUUACAAACCAGGAAAAUGAAAGGAUUGAAGAAGCGCCCUGCAGAAAGAGUAACAGUUGAAGACGAGGAGAAAAAAAUCAAAGAGAAUUAAAAAAAAUUAAUGAAACUUA